rnacentral:rRNA from 1 species
AUGAACGCUGGCGGCGUGCCUAAUACUUGCCAGUCGCGCGAACAGACGAGGAGCUUGCUCCUCUGACGUUAGCGGCGGACGGGUGAGUAACACGUGGAUAACCUACCUAUAAGACUGGGAUAACUUCGGGAAACCGGAGCUAAUACCGGAUAAUAUAUUGAACCGCCUGGUUCAAUAGUGAAAGACGGUUUUGCUGUCACUUAUAGAUGGAUCCGCGCCGCAUUAGCUAGUUGGUAAGGUAACGGCUUACCAAGGCGACGAUGCGUAGCCGACCUGAGAGGGUGAUCGGCCACACUGGAACUGAGACACGGUCCAGACUCCUACGGGAGGCCGCAGUAGGGAAUCUUCCGCAAUGGGCGAAAGCCUGACGGAGCAACGCCGCGUGAGUGAUGAAGGUCUUCGGAUCGUAAAACUCUGUUAUUAGGGAAGAACAAAUGUGUAAGUAACUAUGCACGUCUUGACGGUACCUAAUCAGAAAGCCACGGCUAACUACGUG